GAUGAACGCUAGCGGCAGGCUUAAUACAUGCAAGUCGAGGGGCAGCAGGGGUGUAGCAAUACAUCUGCUGGCGACCGGCGAACGGGUGCGGAACACGUACGCAAUCUACCCAAAACUGGUGAAUAGCCCUCCGAAAGGAGGAUUAAUACACCGUAACUUAUGGAGGUGGCAUCACCAUCAUAAUAUAGCUCCGGCGGUUUUGGAUGAGCGUGCGUCUGACUAGGUAGUUGGUUGAGGUAACGGCUCACCAAGCCUUCGAUCAGUAACUGGUGUGAGAGCACGACCAGUCACACGGGCACUGAGACACGGGCCCGACUCCUACGGGAGGCAGCAGUAAGGAAUAUUGGUCAAUGGACGCAAGUCUGAACCAGCCAUGCCGCGUGAAGGAUGAAGGUCCUCUGGAUUGUAAACUUCUUUUAUAGGGGACGAAACCCAGGUAUUCUUACCUGAUUGACGGUACCCUAGGAAUAAGCACCGGCUAACUCCGUGCCAGCCGCCGCGGUAAAAC
rnacentral:rRNA from 1 species